rnacentral:rRNA from 1 species
CCUACGGGAGGCAGCAGUGGGGAAUAUUGCACAAUGGGGGAAACCCUGAUGCAGCGACGCCGCGUGAGUGAAGAAGUAAUUCGGUAUGUAAAGCUCUAUCAGCAGGGAAGAAAAUGACGGUACCUGAGUAAGAAGCCCCGGCUAACUACGUGCCAGCAGCCGCGGUAAUACGUAGGGGGCAAGCGUUAUCCGGAUUUACUGGGUGUAAAGGGAGCGUAGACGGCAGUGCAAGUCAGGAGUGAAAGGCGGGGGCUCAACCCCCGGACUGCUCUGGAAACUGUACGGCUGGAGUGCAGGAGAGGUAAGUGGAAUUCCUGGUGUAGCGGUGAAAUGCGUAGAGAUUAGGAGGAACACCAGUGGCGAAGGCGGCUUACUGGACUGUAACUGACGUUGAGGCUCGAAAGCGUGGGGAGCAAACAGGAUUAGAUACCCUAGUAGUC